ACCUGGCUAGCUCAGUCGGUAGAGCAUGUGACUCUUGAUCUCAGGGUUGUGAGUUCAAGCCUCACACUGGGUU